UGGGUGGUAGUACCCCCAGAUUAUACGGAUAUGUAACAAGGUUUGUUACCAAUUAAGGAACAAGUGUAAUAAUUCAAUUGUGGAAUACAUCCGAGUUUGGCAUUUAUGCCAUGAAGUUGAUUCGCUACUCUGGGCUCUUUUGCCAGCGACUAGACAGCCAAAUAAGGAGAGGAAUUUAAUAAUAAUUAAGAAUUCAUUAAAUCAGGGGUCGACAAGAAUGGAUCUUUCGAGAAAAGAUCAGAGUUGUUCUCACAAGAAUUAUCAGUAGGACGGUCAAACACUGUUGACGGAUACAAUCCAAAUACGACACAGAGUAAAGGAUCAGCGAAGCCAAAAAUAAUUGGCAAUAAAAUCGUAGACGGGAACAUGCUGAUUGCCGAUAAUGCAAGGAAUACGAAACCAAAAGUUCUCGACUUGGAUUUUGGAGACAACAAACAAAAGAUGUCAUGGAUUUUUAUUUUAACGAAGAACCACCUGCUGAAAAAACAAGUAACAUGACAGCACUGGAGGAUAAUAGUAAUUUAGCCCUGAAAUAAUUUAUUGAAAGAAUUAAAAUUUCAUUUUUAUACAAACUUUUCUACUCAAUUGUCCGAAUUUUCUAGUUUAAAUUUUUGCCAGUUUUAAACAUAUUUUUUCGAAAAACGUAGACAAAUAUGACAACUACGAGCUAUUUGCUGCUGUUUCCGUUCUUGAAGAAAGAGAGCUCACGGAUAUUUGCAAAAUAGAUAUAUCUUCAAAUAUAUUGCCGCGAGGGAAAGCCGCUCCUAAAGCAUCUACAUUAAUUGCGCCUGCUGCUUUCACGAAAAUGAGGAAAAAUAUGUAUGUUAUUUUUGUUGAUCAGAAGUAAGAAAAAUGACCCGUUACCUCAUUACUGUUCACAAAAAUGGGGAAGAAAAUUAAAUAAAUACUUCUGUUACCACCUGGAAAUGAGACGAGAAAAAAGACGUUGGAUUAUUUCAGAGAUGAGGGUAAUUACCAAUAUAAUAUAGACUUCUAAAGAAACAAAGGUAAUUUAGUCGUUAGCAAGAGUCCAGAGGAAGAAAAAAGUGGGACUGAUUAUUUGACAUGCGCUAAGUGCCACAAAACAGUGCUCAAAAUAUCUUUGAAGAAGCAUUUCAAAAAGUGCACGAAAAUGAAUAGUCAAAAUUGUCGAUGUCUCACUAUUUUGGGAAGGAUAGCCCUCAACAGCUGCCAUCCUAAUGGAUUAGAACAUAUGCGGAGGAGAAUAUUACCUAGGCUACAUCAAGAAGAUGUAGCUGAUAUUCUCUCAUUCGACGAUCUUCUGAUCAUAUAUGGAAACAACUUCUGCGAGAAGUACAAGGAACAGUCUCUUGUGUCGAUGAUAAAGAGCCGCUUAAGAUUGAUCACACGCGUUUAUAUUGCAGCGAAGUCAAUUAAUAUCAACAUCUCAGACUUUAAGUCUAUGAUAAAUCCCCAGAUGUAUCAAACAUUUAUUAUAGCAGUUCACAAAGUUGCUGAACUUGAUGAGUAAACAGGUCAGUAUAAAAAAACCGAAUGUCGCUAGCAGAAUUGGCACUUCGAUCAAAGAUAUUGUCGACAUCUUCAUCAACGAGUGCAUAAUCGCCACGGAUGAUAAAAAACAAAAAACGGCAGAAAACUUUCUGCACUUAAAUUCAAAGCUCUUCCGAAUAAGAGUUAACAACACAGCUAAAAAUACGAAAAUCGAAUCGAAUAGAAGGAAAAUCAUACAGCUUCUAAGCCUCCAUGACGUAAAAAAAUUGCUACAAUAUAGGACGAGUCUAAGACAUAGCGUACUCAGGAAAUUGGACUAACAUGUGUUUUCUUACCCAGUCUUUAAAGUGCUUGCGGAGACAUGCCUUCUGGGCAUGAUGAUGUUUAAUCGACGAAGACCAGGAGAAAUGCAAAUGGUGGAAGCCCAGGAUUUUAAAUUGCAUUCGACAAUUGAUGAGCGCACAAACAAAGAGCAGUUCCAGUCGAUGAGCCAAUAAGCAUGGGAAGCUCUUGUGGAAUAUGUGCGGUUUUUUAUCAGUAGAAAAUUAAAUCGACCUGUUACGGUUGUGCUUUGCCAGGAUUUACUACACUGCACGAAAACUAUCCUUCAUCAUAGAGAAGAGGCAAACAUAUCUGCAGCAACAAGUACAUUUUUGGUCUUCCGUGUCAGGACACGAAAAAAGACAAGCUUCUUGAUGCUUGUCACUUGAUAAGAAAGUAUAGCAAGGCAUGUAGAAUAAAAGAGCCUCAUCUUUUAAGGGCAACGAAUCUAAGGAAACAUAUUGCGACAACAUAUCUUCAGUUGAAGGUUACGGCAGAAGAAAAAGCCGAUUUGGCAAAACAUCGUAAUUAUCACAACAAAAUUUACGAGAACUAUUACAGGUUUCCUUUUCCAGAGUUGGAGAUACCUAAAGUAGUACACAUGUUAAAAUAUGCACAAGGCGAAGGAGAAAACGAGAGUGACACGGAUAAUGAUGACGAAGACAAGUUUAAUGAGGAAAAACGCGAUAGUGAUCAAGACUCGCUUAUUGACGAAGCAAGUGUCGCACCUGAUGAAGGCUUAAAGAGGGAGGAUUCAUAAAUAGGCCGAGAAGAAAAAUCGCCCGGAACUCUAGAUGAAUGGAUGGAAGAGAGCUCGAAAAGACGAAGAGGUACAAGUAAUAUUAGAUAAUAUUGAGUCGUCGUAAACAUAAUUCGUUUUCAUACUUAUUUCUUUAAAAUAUUAGUUUUGAAUGUAGCAUCUAUAAUACGCGUUUGCUGGGCCCAGGAAGUGAAAGAGGCUAUAGUGUCAGUAUUUGGGCACUAUAUGACCAAAAAAAAGGAACUGCUAAGCAAGAAGGCGAUCAGGGAAGUCCUCCAUGGUAACGUCGCUUUAAAACGACGGACCGCAGAGCAGGUGAAAUCGUGGCUCAACAAUCAACAGUUGAAGUAAGCUUAGGAGAAAAAAAGGAACAAGGCUGAACCACGGAUAGACGUAGUGCGGUUGAAACGAGACAUUGGAUAUGUGUUCCUGCGCCGACUAGAAGAAACGCCCAAAACUACGCAGAGCUGCAAUACUUGAUAAAAAUCAGAUAAGAUUGUACUAUUUUUAGUUUGCAAUAGAGACGCAGAGCGGAACUUUUGUAAUGUUUACUACUCCAAGUGGUAAUUAGUAACUACAUGUCGGACUACGAAAUUCAUAGAAUAAAAUUUAAAAAUGUUACAUUUAUUUCUGCAGAAGAAUGCAAUAUUUGAAAGGCAAUUGUUUGUUUGUUUUUUUUUAAUAGGAGGUGAAACCUUGCAUAGGCCAAUAUGCUGACAGUCGGCAUCCCACGUUCGCGUGCCAACCUGGACUUUCUCAUGUAUUUUGUCCACCCCAAAUGAUGGUGGUUACAGCAUUUCCCCCUUCAUUCAGCGCAGCGCCAAACCUUUUUUUCCCUUUUCCUUUUUUUUUCUUUUGGUUCACGUUUUCUUGAUGUGGUUGCUUCUUCUCUUUCCUGCUCGGACCAACUAUCUCGUGUAUGCUUCGUUACGGGAACAUGUAAUACCUGCGUUAAUUUUAUGUUUCCCCUCCUUGUCUUUCUCUUUCUUUUUUCUUAUUUCUACAUAGGACAUUUUCCACAAAUGUGGCUACCGCAUCCCAAUUAUCUAGACUUUCUGUCAUCCUUUUGAUUAUGCGUUCCGGACUUAAUGUGUCGACUAUUUUCAUCCCUAAUGCAGUUCUUACGUCGCCCCAUCUUGCACGUCCAAAAUAUGUGUGCUCCACGUCAUCCUCCUUCCCAGGACAGUAUUAACAUUGUGGGGUAUUCUUUCUACUUCUUCUAUGAAAAUAUUUGUUGAAAUGACCAUGCCCUGUUAAAAAUUGGGUUAGGUAGAAUUUCACUACCCCGUGCGUCCUAUUUAGCCCAUCCUUUAUAUUUGGAAUUAGUCCAGCGGUCCACCUACCUACGAUGCUGUUCUGGAUUCUUUCUUGAAAACUAGUUAUACUCUUAACUCUAACUAUUUUUCUAAGAAAGUCAAUAUCUUCCUCCUCCUUUCUUUUGUAGAUUUUCUUUCGUUCUUUUGCAAAAAGGUUAAUAGGGAUGAUCCCAACUACCAUUAGUACCGCUAUUUCAGAUACGGAUUUGUACCAGCAUGCCACUCGCAAGGCUCCUCUUCUUUGAACGGUCGCCAGCUUCUUCCUGUACUUUUCUACCUUCAAAGCUUUUGCCCAAAUCUCAGCACCAUAUAGCAUGAUGAUCCUUGUGCCACCCCAGCUGUGACCUGCUUGCUCCUGGUACCUGCUGUUGUGUCAAAAAUUAACCCCCUGUUUUUCAAGUAGUCGUCGAUGAUCCUAAGCAGGUAUUGCUUUCAGACUGGGAAGGAUCCCUUUCCUCAUUUCGCCUCUCAUGGCGUUCUCUACUUUCCGGCUCAGCUUGUGGUCUUGCCUACCGUUUGACAACUUUAUCCCACUUUUCUUCCCUCGGCUUCUUGCUACUUGGUUUCGUGUCCCUAGUUUCCUCAAAACUGAGAGUCAAGUUUCCGUCCCUCUUUCUUUUAGCCUCCGGCGUGUUCUGGCUGCUUUGUGACGCCGCUGUCUUGACUCGUUGGAUCCCUGCUUUUGUCUGCAACCCAUUAGUAUACCUCGAAAUCUGCAUAUCCUUGCGGCUUUCUUUCCACUUGUCUCUGCAUUCUUGGGCAUAAACUAAUGUAUGUGCAAUCGUUUGCAAUCCAUGUUUGAUUUCGGUUUGCAUAUUUCUGUACUUACUACAGACUGUAUUCAAUGUCUCUACUUUUCUCCGGACUUUUUCCAGAAGCCACCUUUCCUGUUAGUUCGGACUCAAUGUCCGUAUUCAUGAUGUUUUUGUUUACUACUGUAGCAGCGUAUCUUUGCUCCCCCUCUCCAAAUCCGCGGAUCAGUGUCGGCCACCGGGCUUGAACCUGAUCGGAACCGACAGAGAGAUUAUUACUCUCUUGGGGUACUUGUUUUUCAAGAUACUUGAUUAUACUUGGUUUUUUUGUUUGGGGUUCCUACCACUAGUUGGCUUUUGUCCGCCCCGAGUGUUUGAUUUCCUCAGUAUUACCUAUAUCUGGGAGGCGUUUCCCUAUCCGCAACCUGGGGAGGCGCCCGAUGGAGGACCAGCAACCCCACACGGGAAACUGCAAUUGUACAAUACACACGAUUAUAUAUAGUUUAUACAUUUAUAUUUACAUGCCGGAAUAUUAUAUUACAAGCUGAAACAGAAAAAUAUGAUUAAAGUAAAGCUGGUGGGAAUCGAACACGGGUCUCCAACAAGGCAGCAUGGCGACCGAGGGGCUAUUCACUGAGUGGAGAGAGUACGCUGGGAAUACGGAUGACUUUAGAGAAUACGUGAAGACCGGAAAGAGUUCAGAAUUUAAGAGAAAUUUGGGAGAAACCGGUCAACCGUAUCAAAUCUGCGAACAAUGAGAAAGGUCGUGCGGCGAAGCGAGCGACCGACCACUGUGCUCCGAAACGGGACCCCCUUGGCAGAAUGAGCUUUGAGUUGUCCAGAGUACGAUUGAACCUCGCCGACCCAAGAAUGACCGCAUGUUUACUCAAGAAGAGUUUACCUGAUUCUCGGAGAAAGAGCAUGAUUUUGCAAGAAUUGGAAGGAUUUCUUAUGAUCAGUCGGAUCUUCGAAGAUUUGCCUUGAUUUCGAAGAAUGAGUUCUGAGUUACAAAUAACUCCACUCAUCUUCACUUAGUGAAUAGCCCCUUGAUGGCAAUAUAUCAUUCGGCUAAACUAGCUUAUGAGAUCCAGAAAUUUAUCGCCCUUAUGAAGAAAAUUCUGGCACUCAAAUUGAUUUCCAUUAUAUUAUUCAUUAAUUGUUCACAGUCAUGGCAUUUUUAAAAUUCUAAGCACGAUAUCUUAACAUAAUCAAAUAUGCUAACAUCGAGGUUUAA